rnacentral:lncRNA from 1 species
AACUCCCGUAGAUUUUUCAGAAGUAUCAUGUAAUCCUCAAGUUCUCAUUUACAAUUCAACCUUUCUGAUAUUAUUUAUGAUCCUUCCUUGAAAACCACAUGGUGUUUCUUCAUGUGGUACGUUGAGUCUUAAACCACCAAAUAAAUCACGUGACUACCCGUAUAAUGCAAAAUUCUGUGUAGUGGAACAGAGACAGUUUUUACAAGGAAAUAGAUCACUGUGUACCGGGGCCGGAGUACCACAAUGAUAUAAACCGCAUAGGGACCUGUACAAAAACCAAAAGAGGGAAAAAAGUUUUGGAAGUAAAUGUACAUCUGGAUCCCCUCACAAACUUGCACCCAUGGAUAAUUAGGACUAAUAUCUGUUUUUUUAUCAACUGUUUUUUACAACACUUUUGAACACCAUGAGGAAAGAGUGAGUUAUUGGAAUAAGUCUCAGCAAUGUGAGGACAGAUAAGCUUAUAUUUGGACCAGGGACAACUCUCACAGUUAUACCAAAUGUGCCAAACACUUCUGUCUCUCAAGUCAUUGUGAUGAAAUCAAAGAAGCUCAAAGAAGGUGGCAGCUCUGGGAAAGCAGCUUGUUUGGCAAGGAACUCCCUCACAAAGAACAUCAGCUUGGAGAUGCCCUCGGAGGAGGUGGUAUAUAAACAGAGCACAUCCAUUCUGACAUCAGAGGGGUUGUACAAUGCAAUCAAAGUGGUCAAUGUGACUAAAGACACAGAGGUGACCUGUACGGCCAAAUUUGACAACAGCACGAUAACAACAGAGCCAGAAGAGGAGGCUGAAGAACCAGUAACAGGGCCCAGUGACAGGGUUUGCAACAGCACAGACCCCUCAGCACAAGAUGCUGGAGGGCAGAGAGUGAACAUGCUGUCCAUGGCUGUGUUGGGUUUGAGAGUCCUGCUGGCAAAGAGCAUCGCCGUCAAUACCCUCAUGAGUAUCAAGUUGUUUCUUUUCUGAGGUAAGGGAGCACACAGCUAUCAAACC